AAAGCUGGGUCUACUCUUCACAACAGGCAACUGUUCAGUGUGUAGCAAGAACUGAGCAAGACAUUACAUAAUACUCCAAGAGAGAGGGAAGCAGAGGAGGAGGAGGAAGCCAGCCUGCCUGCCCGCCCCCAUGCUGAGCCCAAGUAGACUUUGUGAGAAAGCUUCUCUCCAUCUGCAGCCCAGCCCGGUGGGAGUCAAUUAAUUCUGAAUAACCUAAACCGACAGAGCCCCCCACCCCUUCCCCAGCCACCACCACAACCUUCCGCUCCGGGAUGCAGCCCAGUGGCUACACAGAGGGAGAGUGAUGGGAAGAUACAGUACAACUGCCAGCAAACUGGCAGUUUGGCUUUGGAGUGGAAGGAGAAUGAGUCUUAAAUCCCAGAUCCUUACUUUUAAGGAAGCAGAGCUCACUCUCAGGGCUGUGUGUGGAGAAAUAACACUGGAAGUCCUCUGCUGGGCUGGGAUGUGAGCAUUAGCUUAGCUCUAUGCAUUGUGAAUGGCCUCAUUGUGCAUCUUGGUAGGAUGGGAACCUCACUUCACCCUUC